UGUUCGGAGAUGAGCCCGCGGCCGAUUAGCUAGUUGGUGAGGUAAUGGCUCACCAAGGCGACGAUCGGUAGCCGGCCUGAGAGGGUGU
rnacentral:rRNA from 1 species